GAGUUUGAUCCUGGCUCAGGAUGAACGCUGGCGGCGUGCCUAAUACAUGCAAGUCGAGCGAACAGAUAAGGAGCUUGCUCCUUUGAAGUUAGCGGCGGACGGGUGAGUAACACGUGGGUAACCUACCUAUAAGACUGGGAUAACUUCGGGAAACCGGAGCUAAUACCGGAUAACAUUUAGAACCGCAUGGUUCUAAAGUGAAAGAUGGUUUUGCUAUCACUUAUAGAUGGACCCGCGCCGUAUUAGCUAGUUGGUAAGGUAACGGCUUACCAAGGCGACGAUACGUAGCCGACCUGAGAGGGUGAUCGGCCACACUGGAACUGAGACACGGUCCAGACUCCUACGGGAGGCAGCAGUAGGGAAUCUUCCGCAAUGGGCGAAAGCCUGACGGAGCAACGCCGCGUGAGUGAUGAAGGGUUUCGGCUCGUAAAACUCUGUUAUUAGGGAAGAACAAAUGUGUAAGUAACUGUGCACAUCUUGACGGUACCUAAUCAGAAAGCCACGGCUAACUACGUGCCAGCAGCCGCGGUAAUACGUAGGU
rnacentral:rRNA from 1 species